CCCUUAGAUGUUCGGGGCCGCACGCGCGCUACACUGAAGGAAUCAGCACGUCUUUCUCCUUGUCCGAAAGGACUGGGUAAUCCGCUGAACCUCCUUCGUGCUAGGGAUUGGGGCUUGUAAUUCUUCCCCAUGAACGAGGAAUUCCCAGUAAGCGCGAGUCAUAAGCUCGCGUUGAUUACGUCCCUGCCCUUUGUACACACCGCCCGUCGCUACUACCGAUUGGAUGGUUUAGUGAGAUCCUCGGAUUGGUCCCGGAGCGGCCUCUGGUCGUGCCGGAGUGCCGAAAAGAAUGUCGAACUUGAUCAUCUAGAGGAAGUAAAAGUCGUAACA
rnacentral:rRNA from 1 species